GUGGGGAAUCUUCCGCAAUGGACGAAAGUCUGACGGAGCAACGCCGCGUGAGUGAUGAAGGUCUUCGGAUUGUAAAGCUCUGUUAAUCGGGACGAAAGAGCCUAGUGUGAAUAAUGCUAGGAAGUGACGGUACCGGAAUAGAAAGCCACGGCUAACUACGUGCCAGCAGCCGCGGUAAUACGUAGGUGGCAAGCGUUGUCCGGAAUUAUUGGGCGUAAAGCGCGCGUAGGCGGAUCUGCCAGUCUGUCUUAAAAGUUCGGGGCUUAACCCCGUGAUGGGAUGGAAACUACAGAUCUAGAGUAUCGGAGAGGAAAGUGGAAUUCCUAGUGUAGCGGUGAAAUGCGUAGAUAUUAGGAAGAACACCAGUGGCGAAGGCGACUUGCUGGACGAAAACUGACGCUGAGGCGCGAAAGCCAGGGGAGCGAACGGGAUUAGAAACCCCAGUAGUCC
rnacentral:rRNA from 1 species